rnacentral:rRNA from 1 species
UGGGGAAUAUUGCACAAUGGGCGCAAGCCUGAUGCAGCCAUGCCGCGUGUAUGAAGAAGGCCUUCGGGUUGUAAAGUACUUUCAGCGGGGAGGAAGGGAGUAAAGUUAAUACCUUUGCUCAUUGACGUAACCCGCAGAAGAAGCACCGGCUAACUCCGUGCCAGCAGCCGCGGUAAUACGGAGGGUGCAAGCGUUAAUCGGAAUUACUGGGCGUAAAGCGCACGCAGGCGGUUUGUUAAGUCAGAUGUGAAAUCCUCGGGCUCAACCUGGGAACGGCAACUGGUACUGGCAAGGUUGAGGCUCGUAGAGGGGGGUAGAAUUCCAGGUGGAGCGGUGAAAUGCGUUGAGAUCUGGGGGAAUACCGGUGGCGAAGGCGGCCCCCUGGACGAAGGCUGACGCUCAGGUGCGAAAGGGUGGGGGGCAAACAGG